AGUCAUCGUUUAGAAAUCUCGAUCACUGCAAAAAAAUAAUGGAUACCAGUUAUUGGCUGAAAAAGUACAAUGGAAUCACUCAAUAACAAGCAGUCGAGUAGUUACAUAGUUCUCGUCUUGUCCGUUAGGUCUUAGUCUUGAUUUUGGUUUCGUCGUUGGCCGCUAGGUGUCAGUGUGGCAGGUACAGUGGACGAGGCGGGAGUGUACGCGUCGCUUUCCUAUCAUCAAAAAACACGAAUUUGAGCUCAUUAUCAAGUGAAGCAAGUGAAAUGAAGACCUGUUGCAAGCCAAGGUUAUCGUGUCUACCGCUGCUGUCUCCUCACUGCCUGUCUGAGCACCUCGGGGACGCCGCGGGAUGCCGGGACGACGCCAUAUGAGGGGUGUUGGACAGAGGAGCGUCUCCCAGAAGAGUAGUGGAUCGAGGCAAGUAGUCAUUGGAAUCAGUCACAAAGCCAAACAUUUUCCCUUGCACUCGAAAUCUAGAAAUAAUCACCACUCUGCGUCUCUCAAUAAGUGCUACGAUUUUGCUACACGAUACGGCUCUUCAGGGAAUGCUUUCAUAAUACGAACCCAUAAAUCAUUCCUGUCGCAAUCACAACGCUGAGUGCUGUCUCCUUGCUGUCUACUUCUGCCUCGAGCACAGUGACAAUGGCUUCCUUCCGCACCAUGAGGCCAAGGAGAGGUGAGCGUUGCCUGUGAACUUCGCGACACAAGGGUAAGAGAGUCUCGCCCUGGUCUGAGCCUCCAGGACUUAACCUCACCAGCAACAUCCAGGAGUUGCAGUGGAGAAGAAAAUACGAAGUGAAGAGAAGAGCAAGCAGACCAAACAGCUCGCUCAGACUCGUCAUUUGCCGACCUCUAAUGCUGACCCUGGCUGACGGGGAGUUCUGUGUCUUUGAUGGUGCCUGCUAACCGUCCCGCCCAGAACCCCCUCCCCCAUCUCCUGGCGCGGCCCUCCACUCAUGUCCCGCCGGCAGGCUUUUCCCUCCGCUGGUCUUGACGCAGCCUCGCUAGCGGUAUAAAGCUGUUUCUGCCUUCCCACGCUUCCUG